rnacentral:rRNA from 1 species
AACGAACGCUGGCGGCAUGCCUAACACAUGCAAGUCGAACGAGAACUUCGGGUCUUGUGGCGCACGGGUGCGUAACGCGUGGGAACCUGCCCUUAGGUUCGGACUAACUCCCCGAAAGGGGUGCUAAUACCGGAUAAUGUCUUCGGACCAAAGAUUUAUCGCGCUUGUAUGGGCCCGCGUUGGAUUAGCUAGUUGGUAGGGUAAAAGCCUACCAAGGCGACCAUCCAUAGCUGGUCUGAGAGGCUGAUCAGCCACACUGGGACUGAGACACGGCCCAGACUCCUACGGGAGGCAGGAGUGGGGAACAUUGGACAAUGGGCGAAAGCCUGAUGCAGCACUGCCGCGUGAGUGAUGAAGGCCUGAGGGUUGUAAAGCUCUUUUACCCGGGAUGAUAAUGACAGUACCUGGAGAAUAAGCUCCGGCUAACUCCGUG